CUCGCCUGCCCAGUGACUCUUUUAAACGGCCGCGGUAUCCUAACCGUGCAAAGGUAGCAUAAUCACUUGUCUCUUAAAUAGAGACUAGAAUGAAUGGCUAAAUGAGGACUAAUCUGUCUCUUACGGACAACCAAUGAAAUUAAUCUUUCAGUACAAAAGCUGAAAUAAAAACAUAAGACGAGAAGACCCUGUGGAGCUUCAAACCAAACACACCCUGCAUGCUCCUCAGGUUUUUAGUUGGGGCGACUUCGGAGCACAAUAAAACCUCCAAAAUUUUUAUCUUCAAGAUUAACAAACCAAAAACUUUAUUAGACCCAGCAAUGUAUGACAUUGUCUGAUCACUGAACCAAGUUACCCCAGGGAUAACAGCGCCAUCCCCUCCUAGAGUUCAUAUCGACAAGGGGGUUUACGACCUCGAUGUUGGAUCAGGACACCCCAAUGGUGCAGCCGCCAUUAAAG
rnacentral:rRNA from 1 species